rnacentral:rRNA from 1 species
UACGUAGGGUGCAAGCGUUGUCCGGAAUUAUUGGGCGUAAAGAGCUCGUAGGCGGUCUGUCGCGUCGGCUGUGGAAACCCGGAGCUCAACUCCGGGCCUGCAGUCGAUACGGGCAGACUGGAGUUCGGCAGGGGAGACUGGAAUUCCUGGUGUAGCGGUGAAAUGCGCAGAUAUCAGGAGGAACACCGGUGGCGAAGGCGGGUCUCUGGGCCGACUCUGACGCUGAUGCGCGAAAGCCAGGGGAGCAAACGGG